rnacentral:rRNA from 1 species
UACGUAGGCAGCAAGCGUUGUUCGGAGUUACUGGGCGUAAAGGGUGUGUAGGCGGUUGUUUAAGUUUGGUGUGAAAUCUCCCGGCUCAACCGGGAGGGUGCGCCGAAUACUGAAUAACUAGAGUGCGGGAGAGGAAAGUGGAAUCCUGGUGUAGCGGUGAAAUGCGUAGAUAUCUGGAGGAACACCGGUGGCGAAGGCGGCAUCCUGGACCAAUACUGACACUGAGGAGCGAAAGCCAGGGGAGCAAACGGG